rnacentral:lncRNA from 1 species
GUUCGAUGUUUUUCAAACGCUCGCGCUGUAGGGAAGGAAAGAGCCUAGAUAAGGGAAGCCAAGGAGUAGAAACCAGAGCGCCUCCCACGGCCCCGGGCGUGGUCACCAGAGGGCGCCAGAACUCUCUGCGGUGUAUUCUCAGGCAAGCAGCCCGCCGUCCCCAUGGUGACUGUCGCCAUGGAGGGGCCUUCACCCGCAUCUCCAUGGCAACGGCCCAGAGCCUGGAAAAGGCAUCCCCACCAGGAGGAACCGGAGCCCUGAGUCCGCUCCAGGUGUUUGCGGGGGUGGGGACGGAGGAAAGGACAGGGUCACCUCUUCAGCCCUCCACAUUGCACCCCCAUCUUCCCGAUCUCCAUUCCCACCCUCCACUAUGACAAAAAGACAAACGGACGGACACACCUCAGCACAGCACAUGUAUCACUUACUGCCCGCGCUGGGUUCCCCUGGUCGAUGGGGUUCUUGAAGUCAGUCCGCAGCUCAUCAAAGGCUAUGAUCUGGGGGUAGGGGCGUGUGCCUGUCAGGGUUGGGGCAGGCCCACCACCCUUAACACCCCAGGCACCAGAUGGCUCAGAGGAAAAGAACACAGGCUUCUUGGAGGGAUCUGGAUGGUAACACCUCCCUUCCUUCCAGACACACACACACACACACACACACACACACACACGCCACGCAUGCCUGUCCUUCCUUGGAAUAGGGACAUAUAAGUGGAGACCCUGUUGAGUGGAGCUUAUUUCUUAGUGGAGAAGAAUGGUAGCUCCAGGCUCACACAGCAGUCGACAAUGCCUAGUUUCUACUGCACUCCCCGUACAUUUCAAGACAUGGCCUCUCCUCUCAUGCUAGUACAGGAACCAUAGAGGUUUGGUACACAGUUCUUGUCCAAGGAGAGCCCCAGGGCCUAGGAAGAGAACUCCUGAUCAGAGUUAGGGGUAGCGCAGCACUCCAUAUGGGUUGGUGGGGUUCAAGCUGACUAAGCAUUUGGUGAACAAAUGGGAGAAAUGCAGUCCAAGCAGUGGUGAGAACAGAUACAAAGGCACAGAAGGUUGAAAGAACAUUCAGAAAGUAGCAGGUUCACGGGGUUGGGUGGUGUGCGAAUAGGAAGAAAGGGAACGGAGCAAGGUGGGUGGUAGGGUCAACAGAGCUAGUUCCAGGAUGGCCGGCCAGCCGGCCAACAAAGACUAGAUUUUAACAUAGGAGUAGGGGGAGUCCUAGUGGUUUGUAAAGCCAGGAAAUGGGGACAACAGUUUAGGAAUGCUGGGGAUACAAGCUGGCUAACAGUCACAGCCAAGAUAAACACGCAGCAGGCUUCAUUAGCUUGAACCCUGUAACAACCUAAUGACUUAGGUGCUAGUAUUGCUUUCAUUUUUGACUUACAGAUGAGAAAACAGGUUAGGUAUCUUGUCCAGGGCCACAAGGGCUACUAGGUAGUAAAGUUAUAACCCAGUUAAAAGUACUACCCACUUUGUCAUACAAGGGCAGAUCAGUGAAGGGCAGGCUGGCCUGCUUUGUGUCCAGGGAGGGGUUCAUUGCAUGGUGGUCUUAAGUGAGAAGGAUGGUAGUCAUGGAAAUGGCUACCCAUUGCUCUCUAGUAGCCAGUUUCAAAGGGCCUGUGUGAUAGGGGGAGUGACAGUAGAAGGCCCCAAGAUACCUUCUAUUAUGGUGUGUCUGUGUCUGGGGGAUGGUGGUGUAUUCAGAAAUUCCUGAGGGAGCAGAUAUUUGAGAUGAAGCUGUGGACCUGGAAGGAACUGCAGAACUGUCCAAGGCCCUGGGGCCUGGGACAGGAAGCGCAUAAUGGAUUCGAAGUGAUGGAGGAAGAGAGAAACGGAGCAGAGGACAAGAAACCCAACUGGGAGACCUAGAUCAAGACUGGAGCAAAGUGAGGGGUUGGGCUGGAGAUGGUGUGUGUCUGGAGAUGCCUGUGGGGGCUCAGGAUCUAGUACCUGUCAAAGAGGAAGGAGGGGAGGACAAAGGAAGAGACAGGGUGCUUUCUGGGAGGCAGCAAGUCCCAGAAAGACACAAGAAAUGGAGAGCAAGAAAGGUAAAGCAAGAGGGGACGGAGGCACGCUGGAUGCAGUCAGAUAAGAGAACACUUAAAAGAGGAUUAGACCAGGAGAUGUGCAUGCUAGUAGCUACAACAGAGAGACAGGCCUGUAUGGGACCCGUUUGAGUGCAUUGGAGGAGGGGCAGCUGGAAGGAGCCGGCAGAGACCUCAACAGUAAGCCAGAGGCUCACAGUUCUAGAGAGGAGAAAGAACCAGGUAGAGGAGGCCCUUGGGAAAGCCCAGGAGAGAACUAGGUACAAGAACCCUCUCCAAUGGGAAACCAUUUGAGAUGAGACAAGAGACAUUCUGAAGAGUGAGGUGUGAGGCUAGGCCAGGGUGAGGGCAGACCAGGAGUGAGGGACAUGAAAGACAAAAGGCACGUAUGUGAAGGAAUCAGAAGGAAGCUGGAGAGUCAGAGUGAGACCAGGUGGGAGCUAGGUUUCUUGAGCUGCUUCGAACCUAUCCCACUUGGGUCAGAGGGGUCCAGGAGGGGACAGGGUUAAUGGGUUCUAAGAUAUGCGGGUCUUGUAAACAGAUGCAGUUGCCAUAGCAACCAUCUCCAUCAUUCUGGUUGGAAAAACCCACAAAGGAGAGGGGUUCAGCGGGGGGGCUGGGGGGGCACACAGACAAACUGCCCGAUGGACAGACGGGGGUGGAUGGAUGAGAAUAUAGAAGGAUCAAGAAUUCCGCCCCUGCCCAAUGACUGGAUGAAGCAAGGAGAGGGUCAGGACCUACUGACAUACCCACAGACAGGCGGGGGCGGUGAAGGAAGGGGGGGGCUGCCCCGGGGGAAGGAAGCCAACGACAAGGGGGUGUUGGGGGGUGCGAACAGAAACCAUGGGGGCUAGUGGAAAAGACCUUUCAAGUUUCCCCGGAGCACUGAUACCAUCAGCCCCAGCCC